UUGUUUUUGCAGUACAUAUUGUAAAAUAAAAGAUAGAGAAGAUUAGUAUGGUUCCUGUGCAAGGAUGACAUGCAAAUUCAUGAAGCUUUCCAUAUUUUG
rnacentral:snRNA from 1 species